AAGGAGAGGGAGGGCUUCCCUGGUGGCGCAGCGGUUAAAAAUCUGCCUGCCAAUACAGGGUACACGGGUUCAAGCCCUGGUCUGGGAAGAUCCCACAUGCUGCAGAACAACUAAGCCUGGGUGCCACAACUACUUAGCAUGUGCUCUAGAGCCUGUGAACCACAACUACUGAGCCCACAUGCCACAACUACUGAAGCCUACACGUGCCUAGAGGCCGUGCUCCACAACAAGAGAAGCCACCGCAAUGAGAAGCCCGCACACCGCAACAAAGAGUAGCCCCCGCUCGCCGCAACUAGAGAAAGCCUGCGCACAGCAACGAAGACCCAAUGCAGCCAACAAUAAAUAAAUUAAAUAAAUUUUCAAAAAAAGGAGAGGGAGAAAUGGAGGGGAAGCAUCAUCGGAAACGAGGAUGUGAGCGCCGCCCAGGGAAGAAACUGGAGGUGGGCACGGCUGGACGUGAGGAAGAGAAAGGAAAAUUACGCUUUCACCCCAAGCCCCAGAGGAGAAGAAACUGCUCCCGAGGGCCCGGCUGGCCACCUCCAGGGCCUCAGCGACCCUUCCGGCUGGAGGCCUUGUGGUCAGCCCGGUUCGUGAUUCAUAGAUCAGCGGCCGUGUUUCAAGACGGCAUCAUCUAGAAUUGGAAGGAGCGGGAGUCCCAGAAUCAGCGCUCAGCUUGCCGCCCCGCAGAGUCCCCGGAUCUGCAGCACACGGAGAUCUGAGUGACAAACCUCCAGCGUGACAGGGCACGGAGAGACUAACACACCUCACAACACAGGUUGUUGCAGUUUGUUGAGAUGAGGUGAUACUGGAGAAGGGUGGACUGCUAAUCCAAGAUGACUGGUGUCCUUAUAAGAAGACAGAGACACACAGGGAAAGCAUGUGAUGACAAAGGCAGAGCCUGGAGUGAUGCAGCCACAAGCCCAGGGACGCCAAAGGGAGGAACCCCCUACAGCUUUCAGGGGGAGCAUGACCCUAACACCUUGACUCUGCAGUCCUAGUCCCAGAACUGUGAGCCAAUACACUUCAGCUGCUUUAAGCCACCCAGUUUGUGGCACUUUGUUGUGGCAGCCCUAGGAAUCUAGUAAGGCGAGAAGAAGGAAAAGCUCAUCAGCGGUGAUUGAGCUGCCUCCCCUGAAGGCCACUGGCUCUCAAUCCACCCAGGACACAUGAGCACCCAGGAGACUGUGACUCAGACUCGUCCCUCCAAGACCACGGACCGGGGCAUCUGUGCACCAGCUCCUGCUUCCACUGGUGAAGGCUGUCCCUGGGGCUUGCUGGUGGCAGGGACACCCCUGCACAUGGCCUGAGCUCACCAGCUUUCCAUUGAGCUGCAGAUGACAUCAGAGGUGGACGUGGGGACAGGGGGUGGGACAGGCGCCAAGAGUAUCUGCUGCACCAGGACGUGGGUCCUGACCCAUCAUCUCUCUGUAGCACCACUUUACUCCCCAAGUUCAAGGUGAAGACUGAAAGUCACCCAGGCAGACGUACCAUUCACCAUAUGCACUUUGGGACCUCUUAUUUCAUAUGUGUGCAUGGAUGAACUUGUCAAGAUGUUACGAAGGGGAGAAAGAAGGAAGGGGAAGAGGAGAAAAAAGGAGAGGAAAGUCAAUAUUAGUAUCGUCAUUUCAGGGAACCUGGGACACAGAUUAAGUGAUGUUUUCCUGGCAGCACAGCUAGCGAACACCUUCACACUAAUUUACACGAAGCCCACCUGACUCCCAAAGCCCACAGUCAUCUUGAACACAGAUGAUUUUUUCUUCCUUUUACAACCUGAAGAAUCCACAGUCACAAGCACAUCUGAUCUGGUAAAGACAGAACUGGGAAGUAAACUGACGGAAACACUGUUCUUGCUUGUGAUGAAUCGUUAGAAGAUAUACAUAUAUUUAUUUGUGCACAAAAAUCGCACAACCUUGGCUAUGGAGCCACACAAUUUAGGGGUUUGAAGGUGUGAAACGAACAGGCUCAGAUUCCUGACACUGACACCUUGUACUCUCGCUUUGUAAGCCAAGACGGAGAUUUCUAAUUUUGCUCAUAACCAAUUUAAGGGUCUUGCUAGCUGCUAUAACAAAUAAACUGCGUCAGGGCUCAAAAACAGUCACUCACUUUGGAAGUUUAUUUCUUGUUCAUUUAGAGUCCUGAGUUGGGAUCUGGAAUCAUCCUCUAUGCAGUGACUCAGUUACCCAGGUCCCUUCCAUCUUGUGGCUCCUCCAAGGUUACUAUGCUUGUCUGCACCAACCCAAGGGAAGGAAAGAGAGUUAUAAGACACAUCUGGUUCUUAAAGGGUGACUAUAUAACAUAUCUCCCAAACCAGGACACUUUUGAGAGUGAAAGGGGAUGUUAUUAAGAAUUAUACCAAGACAAUAAACUCAGUAAGGGCAAACUCAGAUAUAUGAUCUCCCUACUUCAUAACCACCUUGAUCUGGAAACAACCCGCUUCACUUUGCUUCACAUGCUAUUGGUGAAUAUGGCCACAUGGUAUUCCACUGAUCUGUUUUUGUGUAAUGAACCACACUGAAGCAGUGGCUUGAAACAAUGACCAAACAUUUUUUGGUUCACAAAUGUGGGAUGAUCUGGGCUCAGCUGGGUGGCUCUUGCUCAGGGUCUCUCACAUGGGGGGAGGGGGGCCGGGAAGACUCAACCGGGGGCCUCGUGCACAU